rfam:Gossypium arboreum cultivar AKA8401 contig_50748_1, whole genome shotgun sequence.
AAUUCGUGGUGCGGGCAUUUUUGAAUCAACAUUUUGAAACGUUUACAUGCCUCAUAGAAACUUUCUCCCUCCAUCUAUCUAAAGACAACAAUCUCUCUUCUUAGUU